rnacentral:rRNA from 1 species
UGGGGAAUAUUGGGACAAUGGGCGGAAGCCUGAUCCAGCAACGCCGCGUGAGGGAUGACGGGCCCUUCGGGUUGUAAACCUCUUUCAGUNCCGACGAAGCGAAAGUGACGGUAGGUACAGAAGAAGGACCGGCCAACUACGUGCCAGCAGCCGCGGUAAUACGUAGGGUCCGAGCGUUGUCCGGAAUUAUUGGGCGUAAAGGGCUCGUAGGCGGUUUGUCGCGUCGGGAGUGAAAACAGCGGGGCUUAANUCGUUGCUUGCUUUCGAUACGGGCAGACUAGAGGUAUGCAGGGGAGAAUGGAAUUCCUGGUNUAGCGGUGAAAUGCGCAGAUAUCAGGAGGAACACCGGUGGCGAAGGCGGUUCUCUGGGCAUUACCUGACGCUGAGGAGCGAAAGUGUGGGGAGCGAACAGGAUUAGAUACCCUGGUAGUCCACACCGUAAAC